GCCACAGUUGAUAUUGUGUGCAUUCCAAAUGGCAUCCUAUUCCCUAUGUAAUGCACUCAUUUUGGUUAGGGUUCAUAGGGCUCACAGGGCUCAGGUCAGGACUCAUAGGGCUAAUAGGGCUCAGGUCAGGGCUCAUAGGGCUAAUAGGGCUCAGGUCAGGGCUCAUAGGGCUAAUAGGGCUCAGGUCAGGGCUCAUAGGGCUCAUAGGGCUAAUAGGGCUCAGGUCAGGGCUCAUAGGGCUCAGGUCAGGGCUCAUAGGGCUAAUAGGGCUCAGGUCAGGGCUCAUAGGGCUCAGGUCAGGGCUCAUAGAGCUAAUAGGGCUCAGGUCAGGACUCAUAGGGCUCAGGUCAGGGCUCAUAGGGCUCAGGUCAGGGCUCAGGUCAGGGCUAAUAGGGCUCAGGUCAGGACUCAUAGGGCUCAGGUCAGGGCUCAUAGGGCUCAGGUGAGGGCUAAUAGGGCUCAGGUCAGGACUCAUAGGGCUCAGGUCAGGGCUCAUAGGGCUAAUAGGGCUCAUAGGGCUAAUAGGGCUCAGGUCUGGGCUAAUCGGGCUCAGGUCAGGGCUAAUAGGGCUCAGGUCAGGGGUCAUAGGGCUCAGGUCAGGGGUCAUAGGGCUCAGGUCAGGGCUCAGGUCAAAAGUAGUUACAUUUAUAGGGAAUGCACACAAUUUCUUUAAUGAGCAUGAAUGACCAUAAAUAUCAGAAUGAAUAGUAGAAAGCAUUUUUAUUGAGUAAGAAAUUGAACCAACUAUGCAUUUCACAGUCUAUCUUACUUGGCAAUCGGUUAUAAUUAUCCUAUUAUAAAAUGUGCUCUUCUUAUUAACCCAUGUACACUAUACAUACAAUACACCCAGCGUGUCAACAGACCCAUCUCAACAAGCCUCCACAAUACGCUCCAGUCUACAGUGUUGUCUUCAGGCUUAAACAAUACACUCCAGUCUACAGUGUUGUGAUGCUGUCUUCAGGCUUAAACAAUACGCUCCAGUCUACAGUGUUGUCUUCAGGCUUAAACAACACACUCCAGUCUACAGUGUUGUCUUCAGGCUAAAACAACACACUCCAGUCUACAGUGUUGUCUUCAGGCUAAAACAACAC
ensembl:lncRNA